GACGAACGCUGGCGGCGUGCCUAAUACAUGCAAGUAGAACGCACAGUUUAUACCGUAGCUUGCUACACCAUAGACUGUGAGUUGCGAACGGGUGAGUAACGCGUAGGUAACCUGCCUGGUAGCGGGGGAUAACUAUUGGAAACGAUAGCUAAUACCGCAUAAUAUUAAUUAUUGCAUGAUAAUUAAUUGAAAGGUGCAAUUGCACCACUACCAGAUGGACCUGCGUUGUAUUAGCUAGUAGGUGAGGUAACGGCUCACCUAGGCGACGAUACAUAGCCGACCUGGGAGGGUGAUCGGCCACACUGGGACUGAGACACGGCCCAGAAUCCUACGGGAGGCAGCCGUAGGGAAUCUUCGGCAAUGGACGGAAGUCUGACCGAGCCACGCCGCGUGAGUGAAGAAGGUUUUCGGAUCGUAAAGCCCUGUUGUAAGAGAAGAACGGGUGUGAGAGUGGAAAGUGCACACUGUGACGGUAUCUUACCAGAAAGGGACGGCUAACUACGUG
rnacentral:rRNA from 1 species